UACGUAGGGUGCAAGCGUUAAUCGGAAUUACUGGGCGUAAAGCGUGCGCAGGCGGUUCGCUAAGACAGAUGUGAAAUCCCCGGGCUUAACCUGGGAACUGCAUUUGUGACUGCAUGGCUAGAGUACGGUAGAGGGGGAUGGAAUUCCGCGUGUAGCAGUGAAAUGCGUAGAUAUGCGGAGGAACACCGAUGGCGAAGGCAAUCCCCUGGACCUGUACUGACGCUCAUGCACGAAAGCGUGGGGAGCAAACAGG
rnacentral:rRNA from 1 species